UAGUCCACGCCGUAAACGAUGAUUACUAGAUGUAUGCGAUAAACAGUAUGCGUCUGAGCGAAAGCGUUAAGUAAUCCACCUGGGGAGUACGAUCGCAAGAUUGAAACUCAAAGGAAUUGACGGGGGUCCGCACAAGCGGUGGAGUAUGUGGUUUAAUUCGAUGAUACGCGAGGAACCUUACCUGGGCUAGAAUGCGAUUGACCUCUUCAGAGAUGGAGAUUUCUUCGGACAUGAAGCAAGGUGCUGCAUGGCUGUCGUCAGCUCGUGCCGUGAGGUGUUGGGUUAAGUCCCGCAACGAGCGCAACCCUUACUGUUAGUUGCCAGCACAUUAUGGUGGGGACUCUAACAGGACUGCCUACGCAAGUAGAGAGGAAGGUGGGGACGACGUCAAGUCAUCAUGGCCCUUGCGCCCAGGGCUACACACGUGCUACGAUGGCCGUGACAAAGAGUUGCUACUUUGUGAAAACAAGCUAAUCUCAUAAACGCGGCCU
rnacentral:rRNA from 1 species